AGAGUUUGAUCCUGGCUCAGAUUGAACGCUGGCGGCAUGCCUUACACAUGCAAGUCGAACGCGAAAGCGGGGGCAACCCUGUGAGUAGAGUGGCGAACGGGUGAGUAACGCAUCGGAACGUAUCCAGUAAUGGGGGAUAACCCAUCGAAAGAUGGGCUAAUACCGCAUACGCCCUGAGGGGGAAAGUGGGGGACUCGAGCAAUCGGGCCUCACGUUAUUGGAGCGGCCGAUGCCCGAUUAGCUAGUUGGCGGGGUAAGAGCCCACCAAGGCGACGAUCGGUAGCUGGUCUGAGAGGAUGAUCAGCCACACUGGGACUGAGACACGGCCCAGACUCCUACGGGAGGCAGCAGUGGGGAAUUUUGGACAAUGGGGGCAACCCUGAUCCAGCCAUGCCGCGUGAGUGAAGAAGGCCUUCGGGUUGUAAAGCUCUUUCGGCCGGAACGAAAUUGCAUCGCCUAAUACGGGAUGUAGAUGACGGUACCGGAAGAAGAAGCACCGGCUAACUACGUGCCAGCAGCCGCGGUAAUAC
rnacentral:rRNA from 1 species